AAAGAUAUUGGGAGCAAAGGGCUCAAUUGAAUUGGUUAAAAUUAGGUGACAAAAAUAUAGCUAUUUUCCAUGGUCAAGCAACCCAAAGGCAGAGAAAAAACAAGAUCAGGAGGUUACAAAAUGCACAUGGAAAGGAUACAAAAGAUCCCCAAGAAAUAGAAGAAAUAGCAAGAUCCUACUUCCAGAAUUUAUUUGCUUCAGAAAAUCAAGAGAAUCUCGACUAUUUACUCUUGGGUAUUGGUCGAUGUAUCUAUGAAGAGGAAAAUAAAAAGCUGACUGCGCAAUAUACAGGAGAAGAAAUCCGCGAUGCUUUGUUCGAGAUGGCACCCACUAAGGCACCAGGCGAAGAUGGAUUCCCAGCUUUAUUUUAUCGGAAGUGUUGGCAUUUUAUUGGAGAGGAUGUAGUUUCCUUCUGUCUACAACUCUUGAAUGAAGAUAUGGAGGUUAGUUCAAUUAAUACAACUCAUAUUGUGCUUAUUCCAAAAACUAAUAAUCUCGCUAAUAUGACACAUUUUAGGUCAAUUAGUUUAUGCAAUGUCAUUUAUAAAAUAAUGGAAAAAGCUAUAGCGAACAAAUUUAGAGGAGUGAUUGAUAAAUGCAUUGAUAGUGCACAAAGUGCCUUUGUGCCAGGAAGAUUAAUCUCAGAUAAUGUUCUGCUUGCUUACGAGAUAUUGCAUUCCCUAAAACAGAAAAGAGUGAGGAAAAAGGGCUAUAUGGCUGUAAAAUUGAAUAUGAGUAAGGCUUACGAUAGAGUUGAAUAGAAUUUUAUUAAAGAAAUAAUGUGUCGAAUGGGUUUCGCAUGAAGUUGGAUUGAUACUAUUAUGAAAUGCAUGACUACCGUUUCUUACAAGGUUGUGGUAAAUUGAAAUGUUGGGGUGACAUUUAGUUCAUCGAGGGACUUCGACAAGGUGAUCCUUCGAGUCUAUUUCUUUUCUUAAUAUGUGGGGAAUGCCUUUCCAGUCUUAUGAGAAAAGCAACAAAUGAAGGUUUUUUGAAGGGUGUCAAAGUAAGCAGAAGAGGACCACAUGUAUCACAUUUAUUUGUAGAUGAUUGCAUUCGUUUUGGGGAGGCAACAUGUAGAGGGGCUAAUACAAUCAAAGAAAUCUUAAGUGAGUAUAAAAGAGGUUCGGGACAGUGUGAAUAUGGACAAAUCAACUAUUUUUCUCAGCAAAAAUACGACGGCAGAAGAAAUAAGUCAGGUGGUAAACUUGCUAGGAAUCCAAAGCUCAAAUGAACCAGAACGUUAUCUAGGUUUGCCGACCAUGGUAGGACGAAAAAAGAAGGCUUCUUUUCAGGCUUUGAAACAUAGACUAAGAGGGCAUAUUGAUAACUGGAGCAUUAGAUUUUUAUCGCAGGGCGGGAAAGAAGUUUUCAUCAAAGCUGUAUUACAGGCCAUCCCGACAUAUUCAAUGGCUUGCUUCUUACUCCCAAAAAUUUUAUGCGAAGAAAUGGAAGGAAUUAUCGCGAAACUUUGGUGGAAAAAGGGUCAAGGUAAAGGGGAAUUCAUUGGUGCUCUUGGAAUAAUCUUUGCAAUUUAAAAGAAAAGGGAGGUUUGGGUUUUCGUAAUCUCAGUCAGUUUAAUAUUGCGUUAUUAGCCAAACAGGGGUGGCGUCUUUUUAAUUAUCCAAAUUCACUUUUAGCUAGAGUCUUUAAAGCAAAGUAUUAUCCACAGUCUGUUUUUUUAAGUGCAGAGUUUGGGGAAUUUACCUUCUUACCUGGAAGAGUAUCUGGGCAGUAAAGAAACUCCUCCUUCAGGGGCUAAGUUGGAGAGUUGGGAAAAGAAACAAUGUUUUCAUCUGGACAGAUCGGUGGAUUCCAAGGAUUGAACCUAGUACAUGGCAGAAUGAAGAUGAAAAUAGGGAGCUAAAAACAGUAUCAGAUUUAAUUGAUGGAACAAAUAAGAAGUGGAAAACGGAGGUCAUUAUUAGUACCUCUCAAUCGGAUAUAGCUAAAAAAAUUUUGGAGAUACCACUUGCAGAAAUGGACAGUGAAGACUUGCGCGUUUGGAAAGGUAAACCGACCGGAGAGUUCUCUGUACGGAGCACCUAUAAACUAUUACAAGAAGUUGAUUUAAUUUCUAAUAACUUAUUACAGACUGAUUUUAAAGAAUUCUAGAGAAAGUUAUGGGAUUUACAACUUCCAUCAAAAACUCUACUGUUUGUCUGGCGGAUAUCCUGGAACUAUAUUCCUACACUAGCCAACCUACGAUACAAGCGAAUAACCACAAAUGUGAGAUGCCCUCGAUGUGGCUUCGGGGAAGAGGACAACUUCUAUGUAUUCCAGUAAUGCCUUACAAGUACUGAAGUUUAGCAUAAUAUUAACAUGGAUUGGGUUACAUCAUAUUCAGAUCAAAAUACCAGAACAUGGCUUACAUGGGUAUUUGCAAAAGGAACUAAGGAACAGUGUCAGAUGUUUUGCUACGCUUUAUGGAUCAUAUGGAGCUCAUGAAAUCAAAUGGCACAUGAAAAAAAACACGCAUUAGAAAGGGACCUUGCACAGAAAAUAGAGAGCUAUAUAGCAGAACUUGAAGGAGUGGGUAAAGAAAGAUGUACCUUGAAGACUGCCAGAAUAUAGAGACAUACGGAGGAGAAAACGGAGGACACAACACAAUUUGAUGCAGCUUUUGAUGCAAACAGGUCCAGAUCGGCGUCGGGGGUCAUUGUAUGAAACCGGAUAGGAGAGAUGAGAGUCUUAAAAACAACCCUUCAUUCCAAUGUCUCAUCCCCAUUUCUUGCAGAGGCAUUCGCUUGUCUACAGGCAAUCAAGCUGGGUAUUUCACUGGGCCUCCGAUCAGUCACAAUAAGGGGAGAUUCGAAGACAAUCAUUAAAAAAUGUCAAUCGGCAGGGAUGGAUAAAUCGAUCAUUGGAGCAGUUAUCAAUGAUAUCAAGAGUCAUAGUUCGCUAUUUCAAGAAAUAGAUUUUCAGUUUAUUCAAAAAUCAAAGAACUUCCAAGCCCACAAAAUAGCGAAGGAAACAUUAGCAAAUGGGGAAGAGAGGUACUUGGUUAGAGAUGAGUCGAUCUACAACGAAGGAGCCAUGGAAGAGGAAUGGUCAAGAAACCCGGAUUGAAGAAAAUUUCAAAAAGAAAGAGAAUUGAAAAUGGUAACAGGAUUGAAGAAAGAACGUUUUGGAAACUGUUAUCUGCCAAAUAGAUGUGACGAUUCAGCAUGAAAAGGAGAGAUUUUAAUACGUCCAGGCUGUCUGAUUUGACUGGGUAAUAAUGUUAGGUUUUGUGUUUUUUUCAUUUUUUCGUUUCUAUUUUAUUAGGCUAAAAUUCUGAUGGGUAAACUUUGUAGCCCACCUAUUGCUUUAGGGUGUUUUCAGCAGACUCCAAACCCAAUUAUAUUGGGUAUUAUUGUGUUUUGUUUCCAUUAUUUAUACUAGUCCAGUUAUAUCUUUUUAAAAAAA
rnacentral:lncRNA from 1 species